CUCAUGAGUUCUCCCAGAAGCCACCGCUCUUCCUCUUCCCCUAAGCGGCCUGAGGUAAUCUGUGAAAAUGGUUCGCUAUUCACUUGACCCGGAGAACCCCACGAAAUCAUGCAAAUCAAGAGGUUCCAAUCUUCGUGUUCACUUUAAGAACACUCGUGAAACUGCCCAGGCCAUCAAGGGUAUGCAUAUUCGAAAAGCCACGAAGUAUCUGAAAGAUGUCACUUUACAGAAACAGUGGGUACCAUUCCGACGUUACAAUGGUGGAGUUGGCAGGUGUGCCCAGGCCAAGCAGUGGGGCUGGACACAAGGUCGAUGGCCCAAAAAGAGUGCUGAAUUUUUGCUGCACAUGCUUAAAAACGCAGAGAGUAAUGCUGAACUUAAGGGUUUAGAUGUAGAUUCUCUGGUCAUCGAGCAUAUCCAAGUGAACAAAGCACCUAAGAUGCGCCGACGGACCUACAGAGCUCAUGGUCGGAUUAACCCAUACAUGAGCUCUCCCUGCCACAUUGAGAUGAUCCUUACCGAAAAGGAACAGAUUGUUCCUAAACCAGAAGAGGAGGUUGCCCAGAAGAAAAAGAUAUCCCAGAAGAAACUGAAGAAACAAAAACUUACGGCACGGGAGUAAAUUCAGCAUUAAAAUAAAUGUAAUUUAAAGGAAAAAAAAAAAAAAAAA